rnacentral:rRNA from 1 species
AUUACCGAUGAAUGUCGUCCAACAACUACUCAGUUGUACCUUGUGAACUGUACCAAACUAUUUAGGGGUCGGCUUGUCCGUUAAAUGGUCGUCGGACGCGAGAGAUCGCGGCCGCUCGACCGGCCCCGCGUGUGUUUCCUUUUUUACAAACAUAUGUGUUCCUGUCUGACGCARCGCUUCGUCCGGCCUCCGGUCGGCCGCAGCGGAUAGAGCAAAAAACGAGAUACAACUUUUGACGGUGGAUCUCUUGGCUCACGCAUCGAUGAAGAACGCAGCCAGCUGCGAUAAGUAGUGUGAAUUGCAGAAUUCAGUGAAUCAUCGAAUCUUUGAACGCAAAUGGCGCUCUUGGGUUCUCCCAGGAGCAUGUCUGUCUGAGUGUCGGAUAUCAUCCAACGCACRCCAGCGUGCGGAAUUGAGGCGUCACGGUCUGUACAGCAUGGACCGUGUCCCUUGAAAGUCAGAGAGACUCGCCGCGUCGCGGGAUGAUUCCCCGUGCACACUACCGGAGGCUAAAACGUAUUUUGCCCUUCGCGUGCCGGGUGUCGCCGCGUGCGGUGGUCGUCGUCGGGCGAACAGCAUUAUUAUCUUGACCUCAGAUCAGGCAAGGCUACCCGCUGAAUUGCCAAACAUAUUA